AAACAAGAUUAUUCGCCAGAGUACUAUCGGCAACAGCCCAAAACUCAAAGGACUUGGCGGUGCUUCAUAUCCUUCUAGAGGAGCCUGUUCUGUAAACGAUAAACCACGAUUAACCUCACCAAUCCUUGCUACUUCAGUCUAUAUACCGCCAUCUUCAGCAAACCCUAAAAAAGGAACGAAAGUAAGCACAACUACUGCACGUAAAAACGUUAGGUCAAGGUGUAACCUAUGGAUUGGGAAGAAAUGGGCUACAUUUUCUAUAAUAAGAACACCCCUUAAACUCACACGAAAGUUUUUAUGAAACCUAAAAACUAAAGGAGGAUUUAGCAGUAAAUUAAGAAUAGAAUGCUUAAUUGAAUAAGGCCAUGAAGCACGC
rnacentral:rRNA from 1 species